UGCCUGCUAGCUGAGUCGGUUAGAGCAUCGUGCUAAUAACGCGAAGGUCGCAGGUACGAUCCCUGCGCAGGCCA